rnacentral:sRNA from 1 species
CGGGUUGUCGCCGGCGGCCACUUAUUCCGCGUCCUGGCUCUGGAGAACACCCCCUCGGGGUGCCACCCGGUACGCGCCGCCCUGCUGGCGUCAGAGCAGUGAUGAUGACGCGCCCG